rnacentral:rRNA from 1 species
AAACGUAGGUGGCGAGCGUUAUCCGGAUUCAUUGGGCGUAAAGAGCUUGUAGGUGGUGCGAUAAGUUGGACGUGAAAACUCCGGGCUUAACUUGGAGAGGCCGUUCAAUACUGUUGUGCUAGAGGGCGUCAGAGGGAAGUGGAAUUCCUGGUGUAGCAGUGAAAUGCGUAGAUAUCAGGAGGAACACCCGUGGCGAAGGCGGCUUCCUGGGACGUACCUGACACUGAGAAGCGAAAGCUAGGGGAGGC